GAUGAACGCUGGCGGCGUGCCUAAUACAUGCAAGUCGAGCGAACGGACGAGAAGCUUGCUUCUCUGAUGUUAGCGGCGGACGGGUGAGUAACGCGUGGAUAACCUACCUAUAAGACUGGGAUAACUUCAGGAAACCGGAGCUAAUACCGGAUAAUAUUUUGAACCGCAUGGUUCAAAAGUGAAAGACGGUCUUGCUGUCACUUAUAGAUGGAUCCGCGCUGCAUUAGCUAGUUGGUAAGGUAACGGCUUACCAAGGCAACGAUGCAUAGCCGACCUGAGAGGGUGAUCGGCCACACUGGAACUGAGACACGGUCCAGACUCCUACGGGAGGCAGCAGUAGGGAAUCUUCCGCAAUGGGCGAAAGCCUGACGGAGCAACGCCGCGUGAGUGAUGAAGGUCUUCGGAUCGUAAAACUCUGUUAUUAGGGAAGAACAUAUGUGUAAGUAACUGUGCACAUCUUGACGGUACCUAAUCAGAAAGCCACGGCUAACUACGUG
rnacentral:rRNA from 1 species